UUAUCCUACGGGGGGCAGCAGUGGGGAAUAUUGGGCAAUGGGCGCAAGCCUGACCCAGCAACGCCGCGUGAAGGAAGAAGGCUUUCGGGUUGUAAACUUCUUUUCUCAGGGACGAAGAAAGUGACGGUACCUGAGGAAUAAGCCACGGCUAACUACGUGCCAGCAGCCGCGGUAAUACGUAGGGAGCGAGCGUUGUCCGGAAUUACUGGGUGUAAAGGGAGCGUAGGCGGGGAUGCAAGUUGGGUGUUAAAUCUACCGGCUCAACUGGUAGUCGCACUCAAAACUGCAGCUCUUGAGUGAAGUAG
rnacentral:rRNA from 1 species